GCUAGGAGAAUAAAACUUGCUUCAGGAGUCUGGAGCAUCCAGAUAACAUGGCUGGCCCAAUAAAAUUGAUGUUAGAUGAUCAUUGCCUCAAUACUCAUGGUGUUUCCUUGCAGGAGAAUGCUAACAUUGGUGUGUCUGUCUUCCCACUGGAUUCAGAUGAUCUUCUGCAGAUGGCACUGAUGGUACUUCAACAACUUGAGAGUCUCCUGUAUGUUGCCCAUGUCUCAGCUCUGUACAGCAAGCUGAGAUGCAGAGAAACCCAAUGAGGCAGAUUCUGCUCUUGUUUACACCAACACAUUGUUUGGAAUAACUCCACUGAAGAUAGAGCUGAAUUGUGUGGACUUACACUGGCAUGGCACUGGUCUAAUCCCAUCAGCACUGAUCAAAUGGUCAAGCAUCAGCUGGAAGGAGUCCAACUCAUUGAUUUAUGCUGUUGAAUACAUCAACGAAAUGGAGUUUGGGCCAUCCAAGUUCACAUUUGCCAGUGACCAGCUCACCAUAGAAAAUGUCCUUGGGGAUUCAGCCAUUGCUUAUACGGUUCACAUGUCCUAACUAAUGAAGGCAUCUCUGUCUCAGGAGCAUGAACAUAUGGGAUAUCUUGGCUCAUUCCAGAACAGUGAAGUUGGAGAUUUUGUCACACCAUGUUAUGCCCAGGAUACAGCAGACCCAUCAAACUUGGAAACUGUUCAGUUUCUUUCUUCCUUAGCAUAAGGAGUUGAUGUUCUACUGCCAUACAAUAUAGAGCUAAGUAUGCAAGCACUGUCAAUGGACAUCUUUGUUGACAGAGUGAACACUCUGUUUUUCCAAACUCUCUGUUGAAGUUUAGCCAUGGCAUUGCUUGCCUUUCCAAUGUAAAUGUUAAAUUCUGCUUCCAAGACAAGACUUUGCAAGAUGGUGGAGCCCAAGUAAGUGAAUUUUUCAACUACUUCCAGGCGUUCAUCAUUUAUUCUAACUUUCAGAGGGUGGUCAACUUGUUGUUAGCCUAAAGAAGACAAUAGUGCUGGGUCAAUCAGACCAAAACCAUCACAAAUACAAGAAAGGCGAUCCAUGAGACUUUGCAGUCCUGCAUCUGAAUGACUAACAAUUGCUGCAUCAUCGGCAAAAAGGUUUUCGUUUUCACUUUGGGAUGAGUGAGGUUAAAGAGUUUCCCAUCGGAUCCAGGUCUGAAGGUAUACUUCUUCUGAAUAGUCACUGAAUGCAUAUUUGAGUAGGACAGUGAAGAAAAUCCCAAAAACAUCAGAGCCAGGACACAGCCCUGCUUAAGACCACUCUUGAUUUCAAAUUCUACCAAAUAUGACCCAUCAAACUGCACUGU